UACAGAGGUCUCAAGCGUUGUUCGGAUUCAUUGGGCGUAAAGGGUUCGUAGGCGGUGUGGCAAGUCGGGAGUGAAAUCUCUGGGCUCAACCCAGAGUCUGCUUCCGAAACUGCUGUGCUUGAGUGUGGGAGAGGCGCGUGGAAUUGCAGGUGUAGCGGUGAAAUGCGUAGAUAUCUGCAGGAACACCCGUGGCGAAAGCGGCGCGCUGGACCACUACUGACGCUGAGGAACGAAAGCUAGGGGAGCAAACAGG
rnacentral:rRNA from 1 species